GAUGAACGCUGGCGGCGUGCCUAAUACAUGCAAGUCGAGCGAACGGACGAGAAGCUUGCUUCUCUGAUGUUAGCGGCGGACGGGUGAGUAACACGUGGAUAACCUACCUAUAAGACUGGGAUAACUUCGGGAAACCGGAGCUAAUGCCGGAUAAUAUUUUGGACCGCAUGGUUCAAAAGUGAAAGACGGUCUUGCUGUGACUUAUCGAUGGAUCCGCGCUGCAUUAGCUAGGUGGUAAGGUAACGGCAUACCAAGGCAACGAUGCAUAGCCGACCUGAGAGGGAGAUCCGACACCCUGGAAGUGAGAAACGGUCCAGACUCCUGGGGGGAGCAGCAGUCGGGAAUCUUCCGCAAGGGGCGAAAGCCUGACAGAGCAACGCCGCGUGAGUGAUGAAGGUCUCAGGAUCGUAGAACUCUGUUAGUAGGGAAGAACAUAUGUGUAAGUAACUGUGCACAUCUUGACGGUACCUAAUCAGAAAGCCACGGCUAACUACGUG
rnacentral:rRNA from 1 species